rnacentral:pre_miRNA from 10 species
CUCCUCACGGCCCUGUCUCCCAACCCUUGUACCAGUGCUGUGGCUCAGUCCCUGGUACAGGUAUGGGGGGCAGGGACGUGUGGAC